GACGAACGCUGGCGGCGUGCCUAAUACAUGCAAGUUGAGCGCUGAAGGUUGGUACUUGUACCAACUGGAUGAGCAGCGAACGGGUGAGUAACGCGUGGGGAAUCUGCCUUUGAGCGGGGGACAACAUUUGGAAACGAAUGCUAAUACCGCAUAAAAACUUUAAACACAAGUUUUAAGUUUGAAAGAUGCAAUUGCAUCACUCAAAGAUGAUCCCGCGUUGUAUUAGCUAGUUGGUGAGGUAAAGGCUCACCAAGGCGAUGAUACAUAGCCGACCUGAGAGGGUGAUCAGCCACAUUGGGACUGAGACACGGCCCAAACUCCUACGGGAGGCAGCAGUAGGGAAUCUUCAGCAAUGGACGAAAGUCUGACCGAGCAACGCCGCGUGAGUGAAGAAGGUUUUCGGAUCGUAAAACUCUGUUGGUAGAGAAGAACGUUGGUGAGAGUGGAAAGCUCAUCAAGUGACGGUAACUACCCAGAAAGGGACGGCUAACUACGUG
rnacentral:rRNA from 1 species